CCUCUGGUAGCUCAGUUGGUAGAGCGGUGGACUGUAGAUCCAUAGGUCACUGGUUCAAAUCCGGCCCAGAGGA
rnacentral:tRNA from 1 species